UACAGAGGAGCCAAGCGUUGUCCGGAUUGACUGGGCGUAAAGCGCACGCAGGCGGGUGCGCGCGUGGGGGGGGAAAUCUGGCCGCUUAACGGCCAGGCGCCAUCCCAUACGGCGCGCCUGGAGGGCUGCAGAGGUCGAUGGAAUUGCCGGUGUAGUGGUGAAAUGCGUAGAGAUCGGCAGGAACACCCAGGGGGAAACCAGUCGACUGGGCAGCACCUGACGCUGAGGUGCGAGAGCGUGGGGAGCGAACCGG
rnacentral:rRNA from 1 species